rnacentral:rRNA from 1 species
UGAGGAAUAUUGGUCAAUGGACGAGAGUCUGAACCAGCCAAGUAGCGUGCAGGAUGACGGCCCUAUGGGUUGUAAACUGCUUUUGUUUGGGAAUAAUCGACAUUACGUGUAAUGUUUUGCAUGUACCAUUCGAAUAAGGACCGGCUAAUUCCGUGCCAGCAGCCGCGGUAAUACGGAAGGUCCAGGCGUUAUCCGGAUUUAUUGGGUUUAAAGGGAGUGUAGGCGGUUGGUUAAGCGUGUUGUGAAAUGUAGAUGCUCAACAUCUGACUUGCAGCGCGAACUGGCUGACUUGAGUACACACAACGUAGGCGGAAUUCAUGGUGUAGCGGUGAAAUGCUUAGAUAUCAUGAAGAACUCCGAUUGCGAAGGCAGCUUACGGGAGUGUUACUGACGCUUAAGGUCGAAGGUGCGGGUAUCGAACAG